UAAUGUGAUUCCUAUAUCAUUAAUGCAUCGGAUCUCGUUAGAAAUCUACAACUAAGCAUGCUCAGGCUAGAGUAGUACUAGGAUGGGUGGCCUCCCAGGAAGUCCUAGUGUUUUACAUGCC
rfam:Picea glauca, whole genome shotgun sequence.